AUGCCCCUGAAACUAGGAGCUCAGAGAAGGGCUGGGCAAACGUUCAUGGAGCUUUCCAGGCUGCAUUAGCAAGGAUUAAAAGCAAGCAAGAUUGGAAGGGAUAUAAAACUCCUGCUUAAGCCUUCUCCUUCAGCUCAAGAGCAAAGAAAUUUGCAUCCAGCUACUCUGAUGGACCUGCUAACAUUAGCCUGCCAAAAACACACAAAAAGAACAAACAGAACAAGGAUUUUCUGGCAUAAAGAAUAAUAUCACGAGCAUGACAAUACAAGCAUGGAAGAAGUCUCCCACGUCUCUCCUCCUUUUUCAGGCCUGCGUUUGUUUGCAGGAUUUGUGGCAGGAAGGACUGGAAAAGGGACAGCUGCAUGCAGGAAAAAGCUCUUAGUUGGAGAUAUCCUGGUCAGGAGCAGCUUAUGGAGCCAGACAAAGACCUAACUCUACCCAGAUUGAUGCUAAGGGAUGCAAUGGUUAGAUUUCUAACUGGUGACUGACACCCUCACAGGCGAAUGAAAUGGUAAAUAAAAUGGGUAGAACGG